CUCACACCCUCCGCUCUCAUGGCCACAACCUCCCCCCCGGCAUCCCAGUGUGUCCCAGUCCAUCCCAGUGUGCCCCAGUCCACCCCAGUGUGUCUCUAACCCUGCCUUUGUCCCCAGCCUCCCAAAGUUGACCUGGGGAAGCUGCUGCGCCAGUGACGCUCGGCUGCCUCUCUGCAUGUCCAGGACUGGAAGUGGUGGUGACACCCGUGUCCUGGCCCCCUCCAGUGGCAUGAGGAGAUGAUCAUCCCUGGAGGACCCCCCUGAUCCCCUGGGUGCCCUGGCAAUUUCCCUGCAAGAAUCAAUAAACCCCUGCAGCAAAACAAA